rnacentral:rRNA from 1 species
CCUACGGGGGGCAGCAGUGGGGAAUUUUGGACAAUGGACGAAAGUCUGAUCCAGCCAUGCCGCGUGCGGGAAGAAGGCCUUCGGGUUGUAAACCGCUUUUGUCAGGGAAGAAACGGGUUUCUCUAAUACAGAGGCCUAAUGACGGUACCUGAAGAAUAAGCACCGGCUAACUACGUGCCAGCAGCCGCGGUAAUACGUAGGGUGCAAGCGUUAAUCGGAAUUACUGGGCGUAAAGCGUGCGCAGGCGGUUAUGCAAGACAGAUGUGAAAUCCCCGGGCUCAACCUGGGAACUGCAUUUGUGACUGCAUGGCUAGAGUACGGUAGAGGGGGAUGGAAUUCCGCGUGUAGCAGUGAAAUGCGUAGAUAUGCGGAGGAACACCGAUGGCGAAGGCAAUCCCCUGGACCUGUACUGACGCUCAUGCACGAAAGCGUGGGGAGCAAACAGGAUUAGAUACCCUGGUAGUC